ACAAUUAGUUUUUUACGUAAAAAAUGUUAAAUACUUCAAGCAGAGUUUAUGUGUUAAAUGAUAUUAAUAUUUAAUGAUUUGAAGGCUGAAUGGCACGCGCAAUAUCGUUCUUUCUACCACCUUUCCUUUGUUUUUAUAUUUAGAUGUGAUGAUUUCACAUGCAGAGUGACCACUUUUUAUAUUAGAAUUCAUACUACAGAUUUAUACUAAAGGUUAUGCUACAAACUUUUUUUAAUGAGGGGCCAUUUCAUAUUUCAAGUAUUCUUGAUGUAUUCUUGAUGUAUUAAGAAAUAUUCGACUGAUGCUUGUUACAUGUACAUAAAUACAUAUACCUAAAAUUUAUAGAAACCGCAAUUUCUUGCUUCUCAGAAACUUGAAUUUUAUUAUCAACCAGUUCCGUGAAAAGGCUUACGCAACCGAAAGAAUAUAAAUAUAAGACUGACGACGGACAAACAGAUAGAGUUCGUUUAUGUGAUAGCACAAUAACAGACAAGUUGUGUGAAUCAGACAACAUUUUCGUGACGAUCGAAAUAAAUAAUAUAUAAGUGAAAUUCAAGAAUAUAUAUAGUUAUAACAUAAUUAUAUAUAAUUAGAAAGAAAAGAAGGUGCCAAAUAGAAUUUAAACUUUAUACGAUUUACAUUUGAACUUUGAUUUUUCAGUUUUUAAAAUAAUUUCUUGAGUUUUACGUAAAAAUGAGAUUUCUCAAUUGAUGGAAAGAGUAUAGACAUCUGCAACGGGCAAAUUGUAGAGUUUACCUGUUGGAAUCUACGAGACAAAUCUGUGAAUUAAGGGAAAAUUUAUAACAAUUAAAAAAAAUUAACAGAAGCUAAAAGACAAAAAAGAACUCUAAUCAAAAUUGUAAAAAGGAAAAUGAAAUUUCUUAUAAAGAUAUUGUUGAUAUUUGUAAUAUUGAUGGCUGUAGUUCCACCUGAGAAUUGUCAAAAGAAUCUAAAUGUUGCUCCUGUUAGUAUUAUAACAGCUCCGAUUAGAGCCCGCCCUGACUCUUGCCCGUUUGGUCAACGAAAAGAUAACCGCGGUAACUGUCGCCGUGUUGUUUAACGCGUACAGAGAUAUAAGGUCAGGUCCAGUUCCAUUAAAGACGUCAAAGACGGGCAAAGAUGGAAGAAGCAGAAGAGAAGCGUUUUAAAGGAGCAUCUGAGAAAAGAGUGGAAUUAAAUAAAUAAAAUUCUUUUACAGUAUA